rnacentral:rRNA from 1 species
CCCUUAGAUGUCCUGGGCCGCACGCGCGUUACACUGAUGCAUUCAACGAGCUUAUAACCUUGGCCGAGGGGCCUGGGCAAUCUUGUUAACGUGCAUCGUGAUAGGGAUAGAUUAUUGAAAUUAUUAAUCUUGAACGAGGAAUUCCUAGUAAACGCAGAUCAUCAAUCUGCAUUGAUUACGUCCCUGCCCUUUGUACACACCGCCCGUCGCUCCUACCGAUUGAAUGAUCCGAUGAAUACCAUGGAUUGAGAGUACGAAUAGGUUCGCUUAUUUCUGCUGCUCGAGAAGUGGAGUAAAUCUUAUCAUUUAGAGGAAGGAGAAGUCGUAACA